rnacentral:rRNA from 1 species
UGGGGAAUUUUGGACAAUGGGGGAAACCCUGAUCCAGCCAUCCCGCGUGUGCGAUGAAGGCCUUCGGGUUGUAAAGCACUUUUGGCAGGAAAGAAACGUCGCGGGUUAAUACCCCGCGAAACUGACGGUACCUGCAGAAUAAGCACCGGCUAACUACGUGCCAGCAGCCGCGGUAAUACGUAGGGUGCAAGCGUUAAUCGGAAUUACUGGGCGUAAAGCGUGCGCAGGCGGUUCGGAAAGAAAGAUGUGAAAUCCCAGAGCUUAACUUUGGAAACUGCAUUUUUUAACUACCCGGGCUAGAGUGUGUCAGAGGGAGGUGGAAUUCCGCGUGUAGCAGUGAAAUGCGUAGAUAUGCGGAGGAACACCGAUGGCGAAGGCAGCCUCCUGGGAUAACACUGACGCUCAUGCACGAAAAGCGUGGGGAGCAAACAGGAUUAGAUACCCUGGUAGUCCACGCCCUAAAACGAUGUCAACUAGCUGUUGGGGCCUUCGGGCCUUGGUAGCGCAGCUAACGCGUGAAGUUGACCGCCUGGGGGAGUACGGUCGCAAGAUUAAAACUCAAAUGAAUUG